rnacentral:tRNA from 1 species
UGGCGUGUAGCUCAGCGGUAGAGCAGACGGCUGUUAACCGUCCGGUCGUUGAUUCGAAUUCAACCAUGCCAG